AUUGAACGCUGGCGGCAUGCCUUACACAUGCAAGUCGAACGGCAGCACGGGGCAACCUGGUGGCGAGUGGCGAACGGGUGAGUAAUGCAUCGGAACGUACCUUUCAGUGGGGGAUAACGUAGCGAAAGUUACGCUAAUACCGCAUAUUCUGUGAGCAGGAAAGCAGGGGAUCGCAAGACCUUGCGCUGAUUGAGCGGCCGAUGUCAGAUUAGCUAGUUGGUGAGGUAAAGGCUCACCAAGGCGACGAUCUGUAGCGGGUCUGAGAGGAUGAUCCGCCACACUGGAGCUGAGACACGGUCCGGACUCCUACGGGAGGCAGCAGUGGGGAAUUUUGGACAAUGGGGGCAACCCUGGUCCAGCCAUGCCGCGUGAGUGAAGAAGGCCUUCGGGUUGUAAAGCUCUUUCGGCCGGGAAGAAAUCGCACGGGCUAAUACCCUGUGUGGAUGACGGUACCGGAAUAAGAAGCACCGGCUAACUACGUGCCAGCAGCCGCCGUAAAAC
rnacentral:rRNA from 1 species